rnacentral:rRNA from 1 species
UACGUAGGGGGCAAGCGUUGUCCGGAAUCAUUGGGCGUAAAGCGCGCGUAGGCGGCCAGAUAAGUCCGGUGUGAAAGUCACAGGCUCAACCUGUGAAUGCCGCUGGAAACUGUCUGGCUUGAGUCCGGAAGGGGCGAGUGGAAUUCCUGGUGUAGCGGUGAAAUGCGCAGAUAUCAGGAGGAACACCGAUGGCGAAGGCAGCUCGCUGGGACGGUACUGACGCUGAGACGCGAAAGCGUGGGGAGCAAACAGG